AUCCUUUUGUAGUUCAUAAGCAUGAUGAUUGGGUGUUCACACCAUUGGUGACAUGUAGCUCCCUCAAACCUUGUUAAAACCUCAGCACAUUACCCGUCUGACA